rnacentral:rRNA from 1 species
AUGCACGCUGGCGGCGUGCCUAAUCCAUGCAAGUCGCGCGAACAGACGAGGAGCUUGCUCCUCUGACGUUAGCGGCGGACGGGUGAGUAACACGUGGAUAACCUACCUAUAAGACUGGGAUAACUUCGGGAAACCGGAGCUAAUACCGGAUAAUAUAUUGAACCGCAUGGUUCAAUAGUGAAAGACGGUUUUGCUGUCACUUAUAGAUGGAUCCGCGCCGCAUUAGCUAGUUGGUAAGGUAACGGCUUACCAAGGCAACGAUGCGUAGCCGACCUGAGAGGGUGUUCGGCCACACUGGAACUGAGACACGGUCCAGACUCCUACGGGAGGCAGCAGUAGGGAAUCUUCCGCAAUGGGCGAAAGCCUGACGGAGCAACGCCGCGUGAGUGAUGAAGGUCUUCGGAUCGUAAAACUCUGUUAUUAGGGAAGAACAAAUGUGUAAGUAACUAUGCACGUCUUGACGGUACCUAAUCAGAAAGCCACGGCUAACUACGUG